rnacentral:misc_RNA from 1 species
GAAAUGCGAUAAGUAGUGUGAAUUGCAGAAUUCAGUGAAUCAUCGAAUCUUUGAACGCACAUUGCGCCCCUCGGCAUUCCGUGGGGCAUGCCUGUUCGAGCGUCAUCUACACCCUCAAGCUCUGCUUGGUGUUGGGCGUCUGUCCCGCCUCCGCGCGCGGACUCGCCCCAAAUGCAUUGGCAGCGGUUCCUUGCCCCCCUCUUUGCGCAACACAUUGCCAUUCGAGGCGGCGGCGGCCCGCGUCCAACAAGCUCAACCCCCCCGUCUUUGACCUCGGAUCAGGUAGGGAUACCCGCUGAACUUAAGC